AUUUUUUAAGUAUAAUUUUUUAAAUAUAAUUUGUGUAUAACUUUUUUAAAAAAUUUCUCAAAUUAUUUAUCUUAGAAUAUUUCAUAUUUUACAUAUAUGAAAAAUACUGAGAAAAGAUGUUACACUUUCUCAGUAUUUCUAAAGUGUUUUAAUUUGUAGAAAACUUGUGAGAAACAUUUUUACUAGGGCAAUUAAAGUUCGAUACAAAAAAUUAUAUUUUAAAAAUUAUAACCGCAAAAUAAAAAAGAUAUAAAGUCCGUGACACACGUAAUGUAUGUGUUCAUGUUAAAUUGCAUGUGAAUUAGUAUUGUUUCUUGAUCACAAAAACAAUGUAUCGCAAGUUUAAUAAAAUGUUUUAGUUGCCACCAAUCCCAGUAAGAAAUGACUCAUCAAAUCGAUGUCAAAUUGAUGUCGAAUCGAUGAGUUAUUUCGACAUCGGAUCGAAAGUAUCAUAUUGAUAUCAUUUCGAUCUCGAAUCAAGAUUUUACCAAUAACGAGAAUGUCACCGAGUUAUAACAGUAAAAUUGAACAAAACAAUAACAGGAGUGGCUAUUUAUCAUUCAUGUCAUGUUAUUUAAGGCAACUCAAAAAUAAGUCGAAAUUCAAACAAACGUCGAGUUUUUUACCUCUGCUAGCACUAUCGAGCUAAUUGCGACGUCCAAGACGUCGUUUUGGCAUCGUUUCGAUAUUAGAUUUCUCACUGGGUUGAAUUGGUAAUUGCAAUUCUUCAAACAUACGAUUUGAUAAUUCUAAUGGUUUUCUUUUAACCUUUUGCAUAUGAUUUUCGAAUUUAAAACAGCUAAAAUUGUCUAAAUAACCAAAGGUUUUUACAUAGUUGGCCAAAUGAAUGAGAUUAUGAAUGUUGUAUGACAAAUAUUCGUCACCAUAAAUCUUUCCAUAAUUUGAAACAAACCAUACCAAUAACGAAUUAGCAUAAGCAUUAAACAAUAUACAUAACUGUGGGUUACUUAAUCCUAUAGAAAUCUCGUUAUAGCAACAGUAAGACAAACAAAAUAAUCAUAAUAUAUUGGUCACAUUAUUGACUUCAUUAUAACAAUUCCAGUAUAUAACAAGAAUUGUCGGAACUCUGUAGCUUUCCAUCUCUCAAGUUCAUGUAAACUUCUUGGUUUUCUUGAAAAUUCUGCUGAAAUACAGGACCUAAUUACUUUUAGACGAAACGAAACAGAAUUUAUAUCUUCUGCUGUCAAUCUAAUAUUUCUAUUCCCUUUAAUUCAAAAUCGCAGCAAUCUUUUCAUAAUACCUAAGCAAAUUAAAUGCAUGUAAUCCAAUGGAAUUUGUGAAAUCAUAUCAAUUAAUAAUUUUUCCAAUAUAAAAUUAUGUUCCUAAACUAUGUUCAAUUUGAAUUCGAUUUCUAAAUGUAUUGUUUGUACGUAAAGUACAAUCAAUUUCGGGAAAAGUUACUUUAUUUUUUACAAAGUCACCUUCUUGUAUACAUUUAGAACAAGAAAAAUAUCCACACUGACUUUUCAUAUAAGUAAUGAAUGAUUCAGUCGAAGCGUCACAUACAAUUGCAUUAAUAACAACUCUAAACUUUUUAUUGUAAACAGUUAUACCACGUUGAGAAAGUACAAUAAAUUUAUUAACAAAAUCAGUUAGAAAUUUAUAUAGCGUCAGUAGGCUUGCACAUACCAUGAUAUACUCCAAUAAUAAAAGGCAUUGUGUAAACAUCAAUUUCUUCAAUUGAUGCCAAAAUCGGCCAAAAUUGACUACCGGAACUCUUACAAAGUGACCAGAAGAAAAGUGUACAUAGCAACCACAGCCUACACCUCUAAAAUUAACGGACGCAUUUCGUGGGGUUUCAAGUAAGACUCUGACAAUAUUAGGUAAUUCAAUAUGACCGUGUUUUUUUAGAAUCAAAGGUAAUUUGUUAGCUGUAUUAUGUGAAAUGUUCUCUUCAAUGAUUAAUUUUUGUAAAUCUGUUCGUAAAUUUGUUUAAUUUAUACAAUCGCUAAUAUCUGCCAAUGUAGGAGUGUCAUCUUUAUCAAAUGAAGAUCGUGAUUCAAUAUCACAUUCUUCAUCAAAUGAAGAACAUGAUUCAAUAUCUACCGGAGAAAGUGCUAUGUUCCGAACAAUCGAUUGUAUUGAAGAAUCUUUAUAACAAUGCAAUUCACAAUUAAUUAACCGGUUCCUUCAUCUUUUUGAUAAAUACCGUAUGUCCUUAGACAUGAUGCAGAGAGAUUGUGGUUAUUCAAGAAGGCUAUAAAAAUUUUACAUAAAAAAAUAUUUUUUUAAUGUUGUA
rnacentral:lncRNA from 1 species